rnacentral:rRNA from 1 species
UUUUUGGUUAAGUUACUAAGGGCAUAUGGUGGAUGCCUUGGCACCAAAAGGCGAUGAAGGACGCGGCUACCUGCGAUAAGCGUCGGACAGGCGGAAACAGCCUCUGACCCGACGAUUUCCGAAUGGGGCAACCCACCGAGAGUUAUGUCUCGGAACUUCCCGCUGAAUUCAUAGGCGGGAAAGAGCCAACGGGGAGAAGUGAAACAUCUCAGUACCCCCAGGAAGAGAAAACAACCGUGAUUUCCCCAGUAGCGGCGAGCGAAAAGGAAACAGCCCAAACCUUCUGAUACGCUCAAGGCGACGACCGUUGUAUCGGAGGUGUAGCGGGACUCUCAGGCUGAAUCGUCGAUAAGCCGGGGAGUGAGAAAUCAAUUCGUUAGCUGAAUCUUCUGGAACGCUGGACCACAGAGGGUGAUAGUCCCGUAAGCGAAAACGGAUUGACUCCCGAGAGGAUCCCAAGUACCACGGAAUAAGUGGAAGUCUGUGGGAAUCUGCCAGAACCAUCUGGUAAGGCUAAAUACUCUUUGGUGACCGAUAGUGAACAAGUACCGUGAGGGAAAGGUGAAAAGCACCCUUAAGAAGGGGGUGAAAUAGUACCUGAAACCAUAUGCUUACAAACGGUUGGAGCAAAUCCUCCGCCUUUGGCGGAGGAGGAGUGACAGCGUGCCUUUUGCUUAAUGAGCCUACGAGUUGCUCGUACGUUGCAAGGUUAAAGUUCUCAGAACUGCAGCCGUAGCGAAAGCGAGUCCUAACCGGGCGCUUGCCCCGACGCAAGUCGGGGAUCAGUAACGUGCGGCAGACGCGAACCCGUGUGAUCUACCCUUGGUCAGGGUGAAGUGGGGGUAACACCUCAUGGAGGCCCGAACUGAUGUGGGUUGAAAACCGCUCGGAUGAACUGAGGGUAGGAGCGAAAGACCAAUCAAACUCGGAGAUAGCUCGUACUCCCCGAAAUAGCUUUAGGGCUAGCCUCGUGUCAUAAUAUCACGGAGGUAGAGCACUGAUUGGGCUAGGGUCGUCACAACGAUACCAAACCCAGACAAACUCCGAAUUCCGUUGAUAUGUUUCACGGGAGUCAGGCGACGAGGGAUAAGCUUCGACGCCGAGAGGGGAAUAACCCAGACCGCCAGCUAAGGUCCCCAAAUCGAGGUUAACAGAGAAAGGAUGUCGAGUUGCUCAGACAACUAGGAUGUUGGCUUAGAAGCAGCCAUUCAUUCAAAGAGUGCGUAAUAGCUCACUAGUCAAGCGACUCCGCGCCGAUAAUAAUCGGGACUAAACCUCGUACCGAAGCUGCGGAUACCCCGACGCAAGUCGGGAUGUGGUAGGGGAGCAUUCCAUCGACAUCGAAGGUGUCUCGCGAGGGAUGCUGGAGUUGAUGGAAACGACGAUGUAGGCAUAAGUAACGAUAAGGAGAGUGAAAAACUCUCCCACCGAAAGUCUAAGGUUUCCUGAGCAACGUUAAUCGUCUCAGGGUUAGUCGGACCCUAAGCUGAGGCCGAAAGGCGUAAGCGAUGGAAAACAGGUUGAAUAUUCCUGUACCUGUGUGCAAUCGUUUGACUAUAAGGGGUGACGCAGAAGUGAAGUCGGGCCAGCUGUUGGCUUAGCUGGUUUAAGCCUGUAGGCGUCUCGGGUAGGCAAAUCCGCCCGGGAGUUAUCGCCGAGAGGUGAACAGGGCGCCCGUAUGGGCCACAACUCGACGUAACCAGGCUGCCAAGAAAAACCUCGUAUAGGAGAUUGCAGACAGUCCGUACCGCAAACCGACACAGGUAGAUGAGAAGAGAAUUCUCAGGUGCUCGAGUGAGCCGUGGUUAAGGAACUCGGCAAAUUGACCCCGUAACUUCGGGAUAAGGGGUGUCCCGACCGGUAUAAGCCUGCGCGAAAGCUGGUCGGGAUCGCAGUGAAAUGGGCCAAGCGACUGUUUAACAAAAACACAUCUCUAUGCUAAGCCGUGAAGGCGACGUAUAUAGAGUGACACCUGCCCGGUGCCGGAAGGUUAAGGAAGCGGGUCAUUCUCUGCCGCAAGGCGGAGAGGAAGCUUGCGACCGAAGCCCCGGUAAACGGCGGCCGUAACUAUAACGGUCCUAAGGUAGCGAAAUUCCUUGUCGGGUAAGUUCCGACCUGCACGAAUGGUGUAACGAUUUGGCCACUGUCUCAACCACGGGCUCGGUGAACUUGUGGUACCGGUGAAGACGCCGGUUACC